UGAGGAACAUGACCUUCGGCGGGGGAUAGCCGGCCCAACGGCCGGGUAAUACCGCGUACGACCACAUGGGGACAUCCCCGAGUGGUGAAAGCAGCAAUGCGCCGAUGGAGUGCCUCGCGGCCUAUCAGCUAGUUGGUGAGGUAACGGCUCACCAAGGCGACGACGGGUAGCCGACCUGAGAGGGUNAUCGGCCACAUUGGAACUGAGACACGGUCCAGACCUUCCGUAGGGGAGNACGCG
rnacentral:rRNA from 1 species